rnacentral:ncRNA from 1 species
UACAGUUUGCUGAACAAGAGAGUAAUUGUAUUUACUUGAUACAAGCGAGUUUGGGAUUGGUGAAAGCCAAACGAGAGAGGUACAAGGAAGCGCACUUGGAGAACUCUGUUUAAAACAGACGGUCAUCUGCCGUUAUUAGAUAAAGCUGGUUCUAAAAAUAGGACAAUUGGAGUGGUACCGCGGGAUAUCUCGUCUCUAGU